rnacentral:rRNA from 1 species
AAUGAAUGUUGGCGGCGUGGAUUAGGCAUGCAAGUCGAGCGAACAGAGGGGGCUUGCCCCCGAAGUGAGCGGCGAAAGGGAGAGCAAUAUAUGGAUUAUCUGCCCUCAGGAUCGGGAUAGCUACGGGAAACUGUAGGUAAUACCGAAUAAUAUCUCCGGAUCAAAGGUGAGAUUCCGCCUGAGGAUGAGUUCAUAUCCUAUUAGCUUGUUGGUGGGGUAAUGGCCUACCAAGGCUAAGAUGGGUACCGGGCGUGAGAGCGUGACCCGGCUCACUGGGACUGAGACACUGCCCAGACACCUACGGGUGGCUGCAGUCGAGAAUCUUCGGCAAUGGACGAAAGUCUGACCGAGCGACGCCGCGUGAGCGAUGAAGGUCUUCGGAUUGUAAAGCUCUGUAAGUUGGGAGGAAAUGCAUGGGGGCAAUCCCCUGUGCUUGACCUAUCUUCAAAGUAAGGACGGGCUAAGUUCGUGCCAGCCGCCGCCGUAAAAC